UUUGUGUGUGUUCUGGUCGUACAAAACACAGGAGCCAAGAAGGGCUCUCAAGCUCAAACCCUAACAAGCAUAAAAUCAACAAAUUGAAGGGGUAAAUCCAACCUAAAUCGAAAUCCAAGCACGAAUUCAUGAUCACCUCGAUGAAGGGAUCAUAAGUUUGACUCUUAACAAGCUAGAUGGAGGCUUGGGGAAAGAAGCGGGUCAAACGGAUCGUAUACGCGGAAAAGAGCAUAAUCCGGAUACUAGGAAUAAAUAUCGAUUGAAUGUUGACAUCGCUAUUACUUAGCGGCUACUAAGGCAAGGUAUCGAAACGGGUCAAUAUAUUGAUCCGAGCCAGGUUUGUAUAAUGAUUCAACUCGUCGUGUAGAACUUGAGGUUCUAUAAGUGUUAGACAUGGAUAAAAUAUAGAUAUUCAGUUAUCAUUAAGGUACACCGAAUAAAUUGGGUCAUGAUUAUAGUAUUUUAGAAAUAUAAUGGUUUCUAAACAAGAUUAUAGUUUUAAAAGUGGGAUUUUGGUCGAACAUGGCUUUAAAGGUCCUUCGUCGUAAUAGGAGGGGUAAAAGUGACCAAAAUGCCCUUAUAAGUGAAAUUAAGCAAACGAUCCCUAAAGGUUGCUUAUAAAUGAGUUUUGUAACCAAAUAGAUACUUGUAUUAAGUAUAAAAAGUGAAAUAUGUGAAUCUUUGGGUCAAAUGACUCUAUAUGAGUCUUUGCCGUAAAAUGAUAAUCCGAGGGGUAAAACUCGGAAUAAAUAGAUCUCCACAUUAAAUCCUCCACACAUAUAGUUGUGGUGGAAGAUAAAUUGAUAAAUAAUAUGGAAGUACAAUGCUAGAAGUGAAUGGGUAUGAAUUAUGCGGUAAAAGUGCAUAAAUACCCUUAACGGGUCAAAAUAAGCUUCUAAGUCAAAACGGGUUAAAGAAGGUAUACAAACCCGUGAUUUUGAGCCUAAUAUAAUAGGAGAUAUUGAAAUUAUGAAGUUCAUGGGUUUAAAGAUCAAAUAGGCAUGUUUGUUUGAUAAAAUCACGAAUGGGUCAAAAUUUGGUAAAAAGGGUAAUAAGCCAAAGAUUUAAAAGUCUUAAAUUUUUGUUAAUCCGGAUGUCGGAUUUUAACUCCAUAUGAUGGAGAAUUAAAUUACGGACGCGUAGGAAAAAGAAUCAUGUAAAACGGAUUAAAAACGAGAGAGUUAUGUCCGUUUCGGUAAGAACUAAUGAAAAAUUAACGUGCAGAGUUGACACGGGCGGGUGACUUUUUGACACGGCCGGGUGGCUGGGCUGUGAAAAAUAUAUGUUAAGCUGACACGGCCGGGUGACUUUUUGACACGGCCGGGUGAAGGGGCUGAAAACAAAACAAAAAUAGUUUCUUGUUUUGUUACGUUAAGCACGGAACUUGUUUAUACUCGAUUAUUAAAGUGUCAAAACUAAUUAUUUACAUGGUUUUGACCGUAGGUGAAGAUGGACCUAAUCCGGAUGAAGAUCAAGCUGCGAGCAAGAACCGAACACACGUUAAAUGAAGCUUCCGCGUCAAAUCUUGAUUUGUGUUGAUAUAAGUGAAUUAUGUAAACACUUAUAAAUUGUUUUUGAAAUGUUGUAAUCAUUUGGGAAUGCUGGUAUAACAAGUUUUGUAAAGACACAUUUUAGCAUAAAAAUUUGUAUCUUUUAUUAAAAUAUUAAUAAAAUCAGACGGGCGUUACAACUUCGUUAGGUGUUCUAAGAGUUUGUUUUAAAAUGAGGUUAAAAUAUGUUAAUUUGUUUGAAACCGAUUAUUGACCGAAAUACUUAUAUAUGUUUGAAUUGAGAAAAACUCAACAUAGUGCUUUAUAUAGUAAAAAAGGAAAAGAAACAUAAUCAUAUAUGGCAUAUGGUCAGUAGAAAUUGUGUUUUUAUGUCAUGUAGAGCAUUCAAAACGUAUAUCAUAUAUAUGUAACUAAUGAUAUCACAUUAUCAUGUAAAAACCGCUUAAAAUUUA
rnacentral:lncRNA from 1 species